rnacentral:rRNA from 1 species
GUUGCAGGGUAUAGACCCGAAACCCGGUGAUCUAGCCAUGGGCAGGUUGAAGGUUGGGUAACACUAACUGGAGGACCGAACCGACUAAUGUUGAAAAAUUAGCGGAUGACCUGUGGCUGGGGGUGAAAGGCCAAUCAAACCGGGAGAUAGCUGGUUCUCCCCGAAAGCUAUUUAGGUAGCGCCUCGUGAAUUCAUCUCCGGGGGUAGAGCACUGUUUCGGCUAGGGGGCCAUCCCGGCUUACCAACCCGAUGCAAACUGCGAAUACCGGAGAAUGUUAUCACGGGAGACACACGGCGGGUGCUAACGUCCGUCGUGAAGAGGGAAACAACCCAGACCGCCAGCUAAGGUCCCAAAGUCAUGGUUAAGUGGGAAACGAUGUGGGAAGGCCCAGACAGCCAGGAUGUUGGCUUAGAAGCAGCCAUCAUUUAAAGAAAGCGUAAUAGCUCACUGGUCGAGUCGGCCUGCGCGGAAGAUGUAACGGGGCUAAACCAUGCACCGAAGCUGCGGCAGCGAACGUAUCACCCAAGACAACUUUACGGAGUUGACGAUUGACGGAGCGAAGCGACGUCAAAGCGUUCAUUAAAGUCGAGUUGGCUUAGGGAUACGUUCGUUGGGUAGGGGAGCGUUCUGUAAGCCUGUGAAGGUGUGUCGUGAGGCAUGCUGGAGGUAUCAGAAGUGCGAAUGCUGACAUAAGUAACGAUAAAGCGGGUGAAAAGCCCGCUCGCCGGAAGACCAAGGGUUCCUGUCCAACGUUAAUCGGGGCAGGGUGAGUCGACCCCUAAGGCGAGGCCGAAAGGCGUAGUCGAUGGGAAACGGGUUAAUAUUCCCGUACUUGGUGUUACUGCGAAGGGGGGACGGAGAAGGCUAUGUUGGCCGGGCGACGGUUGUCCCGGUUUAAGCGUGUAGGUGUGUGUUCCAGGUAAAUCCGGUUCACUUUAACACUGAGGCGUGACGACGAGGCACUACGGUGCUGAAGCAACAAAUGCCCUGCUUCCAGGAAAAGCCUCUAAGCAUCAGGUAACACGAAAUCGUACCCCAAACCGACACAGGUGGUCAGGUAGAGAAUACCAAGGCGCUUGAGAGAACUCGGGUGAAGGAACUAGGCAAAAUGGUGCCGUAACUUCGGGAGAAGGCACGCUGACACGUAGGUGAAGUGAUUUACUCAUGGAGCUGAAGUCAGUCGAAGAUACCAGCUGGCUGCAACUGUUUAUUAAAAACACAGCACUGUGCAAACACGAAAGUGGACGUAUACGGUGUGACGCCUGCCCGGUGCCGGAAGGUUAAUUGAUGGGGUCAGCGCAAGCGAAGCUCCUGAUCGAAGCCCCGGUAAACGGCGGCCGUAACUAUAACGGUCCUAAGGUAGCGAAAUUCCUUGUCGGGUAAGUUCCGACCUGCACGAAUGGCGUAAUGAUGGCCAGGCUGUCUCCACCCGAGACUCAGUGAAAUUGAACUCGCUGUGAAGAUGCAGUGUACCCGCGGCAAGACGGAAAGACCCCGUGAACCUUUACUAUAGCUUGACACUGAACAUUGAGCCUUGAUGUGUAGGAUAGGUGGGAGGCUUUGAAGUGUGGACGCCAGUCUGCAUGGAGCCGACCUUGAAAUACCACCCUUUAAUGUUUGAUGUUCUAACGUGGACCCGUAAUCCGGGUUGCGGACAGUGUCUGGUGGGUAGUUUGACUGGGGCGGUCUCCUCCUAAAGAGUAACGGAGGAGCACGAAGGUUGGCUAAUCCUGGUCGGACAUCAGGAGGUUAGUGCAAUGGCAUAAGCCAGCUUGACUGCGAGCGUGACGGCGCGAGCAGGUGCGAAAGCAGGUCAUAGUGAUCCGGUGGUUCUGAAUGGAAGGGCCAUCGCUCAACGGAUAAAAGGUACUCCGGGGAUAACAGGCUGAUACCGCCCAAGAGUUCAUAUCGACGGCGGUGUUUGGCACCUCGAUGUCGGCUCAUCACAUCCUGGGGCUGAAGUAGGUCCCAAGGGUAUGGCUGUUCGCCAUUUAAAGUGGUACGCGAGCUGGGUUUAGAACGUCGUGAGACAGUUCGGUCCCUAUCUGCCGUGGGCGCUGGAGAACUGAGGGGGGCUGCUCCUAGUACGAGAGGACCGGAGUGGACGCAUCACUGGUGUUCGGGUUGUCAUGCCAAUGGCACUGCCCGGUAGCUAAAUGCGGAAGAGAUAAGUGCUGAAAGCAUCUAAGCACGAAACUUGCCCCGAGAUGAGUUCUCCCUGAGACUUAGAGUCUCCUGAAGGAACGUUGAAGACGACGACGUUGAUAGGCCGGGUGUGUAAGCGCAGCGAUGCGUUGAGCUAACCGGUACUAAUGAACCGUGAGGCUUAACCUUACA